ACCACCAUAGUCUAAUGGUUAGGAUUAGAGGUUUUCACCCACUAGAUCCGGGUUCAAAUCCCGGUGGUGGUG